rnacentral:rRNA from 1 species
GACGAACGCUGGCGGCGUGCUUAACACAUGCAAGUCGAACGGAAAGGCCCUGCUUUUGUGGGGUGCUCGAGUGGCGAACGGGUGAGUAACACGUGAGUAACCUGCCCUUGACUUUGGGAUAACUUCAGGAAACUGGGGCUAAUACCGGAUAGGAGCUCCUGCUGCAUGGUGGGGGUUGGAAAGUUUCGGCGGUUGGGGAUGGACUCGCGGCUUAUCAGCUUGUUGGUGGGGUAGUGGCUUACCAAGGCUUUGACGGGUAGCCGGCCUGAGAGGGUGACCGGCCACAUGGGGCAGGAGAUACGGCCGAGACUCCGACGGGAGGCAGCAGUGGGGAAUAGUGCACAAUGGGCGGAAGCCUGAUGCAGCAACGCCGCGGGCGGGAUGACGGCCUUCGGGUUGUAAACCGCUUUCGCCUGUGACGAAGCGUGAGGGACGGUAAUGGGUAAAGAAGCACCGGCUAACUACGUG